rnacentral:tRNA from 1 species
CCCUGUAGCUCAGUUGGUAGAGCAUGGUGUUUGCAACGCCAGGGUUGUGGGAUCGAUUCCCACUGGGG